GCUUGAUUUGUGGUUUUUACACCCACCACAUUUCUUGGAGUUGACAAUUCUAAAACUUUGGGACUUUUCAUCUCCAGGCUGGCGCUUUCUUUGGGGUUUUUUCUUCAUUUUAUAGGAAGCGAGCAUGCAAACAAACCAGCCCACGCUGUGGCCUAAGCAGCUGUGUAAUGCUGUCCUCCCCUCAAAAGUGUACAAAUCUGCUGGGCAGUAGGGACACAAGUUGGGUUGGUAUAACACAGUACAGCUGCACCAUGACAUUGCUUGGGUGGAUGCUGAGAAAUCUAUAGGAAUUCCCUGGGGAAAUGUGGAGUUGGAGGGGGAAAAAAACCUGCUCUGCCCACUGUUCCACUUUGCUGGAAAAUCCACUGCCCAACAGUGAGAAUAGAGUGACUUAUUUUUCAGAAAUGCCUUGGGCCAGCUGUGACUGAAUGGUUGUUUCUUGCUCCUGAUAGUUCCCAAAAUGUUCAGGGCAUUUUCCAGGUGGAAGAAAGUUAGAGCUAAAGAGAUGCAGAAGAAAGAAGGAGAAGAUUCAACUCAGCAGUUGUUUUGUAUAAAUGGAAUCUUAUUCAUUCUAAAAUUUCAGCCCUUGCUGAUGACUUCACAGUUUUAAAGAAAAGAAUAUUUCUGAGCUUUCCUAGGGGUGCUGAAGAGCUCCUUGUUCCUCCUGCUCUGUGGCAGAAGCUGCUGCAUUAGGAUUUGUACAAGGUAUUGACACAAGCCAGAAUGGUGGAUUUGAGUACACAAAGGCAUGAAAUUGGACAGAACAGACUGGAAAAUAGCCUGUACCCCCAGCAUUUCCCAUUCCACGAGCUGAGAAGGAUUCAUACAGAUGGGACUGUUCCCCUGCUAUGGGGAUGGGCUACAUGGGGAGCAACAGGAGUUCUGUGUCCGUGCAACUCAUACAAUAUCAAGUCUCAAGAGCAAUGUCACAGGGACAUGCCAGGACUGCCCAGAGACAAAUGGAAAAUGCAAUGUAAGAGAUGUAGGGGAGCCAGGCCUGCUGUUAAUAACCCUGCUGUUUCAGACAUACUUGUCCCACCAUCAUCCUUCUGAAGUAUUUUUAAUAGAACCCCUAUGCAAAGGGAGACCUUAAUAAGAUGCCUACUCCUGCCCUUCCUGGAAGCACCAUGUUCAUUUUUCUUGAAAACAUUAAACUGUGGUAACUUUUGGCUUUUAAUCUGAUUUAUGACCCUUUGAGAUGCCAUUGAGGUUAUAGCUGAGGCCCUUAAACUGGACAAAAUUAGUAGAAAAUGUUAAUUUGGUAAACUUAUGAUAAAAAUUAUAUCGAAAAAUCAGCACUAACAGGAAAAUUCCUGCAUGAAAAAUGAUACUGGAAUUAGCAGAGUCCUCUGCACCUAUACAC
rnacentral:lncRNA from 1 species